CUUGGUCAUUUAGAGGAAGUAAAAGAUGUAACAAGGUUUCCGUAGGUGAACCUGCGGAAGGAUCAUUACUGAAUUGUAAACAAGGGUUGUUGCUGGUCCUCAAAUGGGGACAUGUGCACGCUCUGUUCACACAUCCAAUCACACCUGUGCACCCUCUGCGGUUCUGUGGUCAAGGGGGGCUUUGCCUUCCUGUGCCGUGGUUCUGCUUCUUUACACACACACACUGUAACAAAGUCUUGUGGAAUGUAUGCCGCGUUUAACGCAAUACAAUACAACUUUCAGCAACGGAUCUCUUGGCUCUCGCAUCGAUGAAGAACGCAGCGAAAUGCGAUAAGUAAUGUGAAUUGCAGAAUUCAGUGAAUCAUCGAAUCUUUGAACGCAUCUUGCGCUCCUUGGUAUUCCUAGGAGCAUGCCUGUUUGAGUGUCAUAAAUAUCUCAACCGCACCCUAUGGUGGUGUGGCUUGGAUUUGGGGGUGGCAGGCUUAGUCUGCUCCCCUGAAAUACAUUGGCGGUGCCCGACGUGAUGUGAUAAAUUAUCCGCAUCUGUUUAUGAGCUGCCGUGUCGUGUUGGAGUUGAUAAACUUGACCUCAAAUCAGGUAGGACCACCCGCUGAACUUAAGCAUAUCAAUAAGCGGAGGA
rnacentral:rRNA from 1 species